CGCAUCUGUGCAUGCAGCAUAUCAAUAAGCGGAGGAAAAGAAACUAACAAGGAUUCCCUUAGUAACGGCGAGUGAAGCGGGAAGAGCUCAAAUUUGAAAUCUUCAAGGUUUUACCUUGACGAAUUGUAGUUUAAAGAAGUGUUUUCUGUUGAAGUUUUGGUAAAAGUUCUUUGGAAUAGGACAUCAUAGAGGGUGAGAAUCCCGUAUUUGACCAUUAUUUUCAGCUGUGUGAUACACUUUCAAAGAGUCGGAUUGUUUGGGAAUGCAGUCCAAAGUGGGUGGUAAAUUUCAUCUAAAGCUAAAUAUUGGCGAGAGACCGAUAGCGAACAAGUACCGUGAGGGAAAGAUGAAAAGAACUUUGAAAAGAGAGUUAAACAGUACGUGAAAUUGUCAAAAGGGAAGCGUUUGACACCAGUGUUGUUUUCUCGAAAAUCAAUUAAAAAGAGUUUGAUUUUGUUGUGUAUUGACCUUAACAGCUUGCAUUUCAAUUUUCUUGCUUUUUUUAAUGCACUUUUCGUUUAACAAGUCAACAUCAGUUUCUUUUGUUGUAAAAAGGUCAUUGGAAGGUGGCUUUCUUUUCGGAGAAAGUGUUUAUAGCCUUUGACUCCUGCAAUCGGAGAGACUGAGGUCUGCAGCGUAGAUCCUUUGGGGUUAGAUACAUUUGUGCUAAGUUAUAGCUUUUUAUAGACAACUUGUUGACUAUGAUUAGUCUUGUAGCUUACUCGCUUAUGCUAUUUUACCUACGCUUAGGAUGUUGACACACGCGCGUGCUCGACUCUACACAUGACUCUGUGCAUAUCAAUAAGCGGAGGAAAAGCAGACAAAGCAGAUGACCAGGCUACCUACGCUUAGGAUGUUGAUAGUCACAGCGUGUAC
rnacentral:rRNA from 1 species